rnacentral:lncRNA from 1 species
GUGACUGAGGAAAAGGUGGUGGUAGCAUGUUGUCACUUUAAGUUGAUAAUGCAGUUUUUAUUUGCUUUUCCUAUCAGUGAUAAUUUUUCCUGUAGCAACAUUUCUCCCUUGCUCCUGGAAGUGAAGAUGACAGCAUUAGAAAGAGUUCCUUUUAAUUGCAGACUUAGUAAUCAAAGUCAAUUUAUGAAGAUUUCAGUAUUGUUUUCUAGGCCUUUUAGAGGUGGCUUUUACUUAAAGUUUAUAGUGAUUAUGUCCCAGACACAGUGCUAAACUAUAUGCAGGCACCGCUGGGUACUGAUUUCUCUGCUUUUCUUUAUAUUUCUAUCCAGCUUGCUGUGUAUCUUCUCCUGUCCUCAAGGAACGUAUUAACUCUUAAAGAAAAGGGGGGGAAUAAAAAGCCUAUACAGCACCAUGAGUAGAAAGUUUGAUAUAUGAUAAAAAAUAUAUAUUUGAAAAACACAUCAAACGAGAGAUGCAGAAUUCCUUUAGAAGAAUCAUUCAUGACAGGUGCGGGACAUUUGGCCCUGACAGAAGACACAACGAAUAACCCUUCAAGAUUUGCCUUCUUCCUCUUUUUGACUCUGGUAGGCUGGCUGAAAACGUGCGGAACCGAAAGUGAAGAGGGUAGAAGAGGAGCCACUUGUAAGGAAUAUGGGCAAUUGGCUCAUAGACUAUAUGGUUUGUCGACGCUGAUCUAAAGCAUGGUGAUUGCAGAAAGAAGGACCAAGAUGAUGGUACGCUGUGGCAUUUCAGUUCGGGAAUAUUUCAAUUCCGUAAUGAAAUCACCAUUAAAGUCUGAGAGGUCUAGCUUCUUGAAGUGGUAUCUAUAGAUUUACUGAGUUGGCAUUCCUUUUUAAAAAUAAAACUUAUUUUAACCUUGCUUAGAUUUCUUUU